rnacentral:sRNA from 1 species
AUUCUAGUUUUUGUUGUUUGUUCUACAAAACUUGAUUUUCUAGCGUUUUCAUUUUAUUUUUAUUGAUAUAUAAUAAUAAAUCUUAAACUUGUAAUGACUGAAAAUAUUAAUCAUUAACUUAUUUUUGGUUAAAGUAGGUCAAGACGCAAGUGGUUUCUAAUGCAGGUGGACUUCCAUUGAUGAUUCUAGCAUUGAAUGCAGCGUUGCGUAUCCAGACUAGCGUUUGGCUCAUGUUUGUUACUUAGUAUUUCCUUAUGUUUUGCUUGCGCUUUGCUUUUUAGUUAAGUUUGCUUGUGUUAGAAAACCAAAAUCAAACUCUUGUGUUAGCUUAGAUUAAAUGAAAUUGUGUAUUCUUGAUGAUCCUAAGUACUAGAUUGAUAAAAAUAUUAGUCUGUUAUUAGUUAGAAUUUAACUUACUAAAACGCUUGUAAAACGCAAGAUCACCCAUCAUCGAUGAUGACAAGCGUUAUCAUUACCGAUGAUGUAGACACUAUUCAGACCAUCCGCCAAAUCAAUGCAGAGGUCUUCAUCCUCGGGAUCACUGCCGGAAAUGACCACAAGUUAGCGUGUCUAGCCGCCGGAGCGACACAGUGCGUCACAAACUUCAUAGAUGUCAAAAAGAUUAAGGAUAUCCUCGAAAGUCUCCCCGACGUCCCGGUCCCAGCCCCCCACCGUUUAAAUCCACAUCAUCAACCUCGAUACAUUCAUUAGUAUAUAUAUAUAUAUAUAAACAGAAGUUAAUUAUAUGAUUAUUUUAACAUUAUGUUACAUUCAUUAUAUAUACAUUAUUAAAAUAACACAAAAAAAAACGUUAAAAAUUUGUCUUAACAAAAAUUCAUUACAUGCUAUUAAUUUUCAUAGAUAGUGGAUACAUACGCUAUAGUGACACUGACAUCUUAAACAAAAAUCAAAUGUAUUAAUUUGUCUUAACUGUGUUAAGAAAAUUGGACAUUGAAAUAUUAUUCGGUUUGAGUUGAAAUUGGCAUUUGACGGAUCCGUGGUUUGCAUGGUGUACCAAGCAAGAAUCGUUGGUUAAAAGAAAAGAACACACAUUAAUUAUC